AGUGAACGCUGGCGGUAGGCCUAACACAUGCAAGUCGAACGGCAGCACAGUAAGAGCUUGCUCUUACGGGUGGCGAGUGGCGGACGGGUGAGGAAUACAUCGGAAUCUGCUUUUUCUUGGGGGCUAACGUAGGGAAACUUACGCUAAUACCGCAUACGACCCACGGGUGAAAGCAGCGGAUCUUCGGACCUUGCGCGAUUCAAUGAGCCGAUGUCGGAUUAGCUAGUUGGCGGGGUAAAGGCCCACCAAGGCGACGAUCCGUAGCUGGUCUGAGAGGAUGAUCAGUCACACUGGAACUGAGACACGGUCCAGACUCCUACGGGAGGCAGCAGUGGGGAAUAUUGGACAAUGGGCGCAAGCCUGAUCCAGCCAUACCGCGUGGGUGAAGAAGGCCUUCGGGUUGUAAAGCCCUUUUGUUGGGAAAGAAAAGCAGCAGGUUAAUACCCCGCUGUUCUGACGGUACCCAAAGAAUAAGCACCGGCUAACUUCGUG
rnacentral:rRNA from 1 species